rnacentral:rRNA from 1 species
AUUGAACGCUGGCGGCAGGCCUAACACAUGCAAGUCGAACGAGUGGCGGACGGGUGAGUAAUGUCUGGGAAACUGCCUGAUGGAGGGGGAUAACUACUGGAAACGGUAGCUAAUACCGCAUACCAUCAGAUGUGCCCAAAUGGGAUUAGCUUGUUGGUGGGGUAACGGCUCACCAAGGCGACGAUCCCUAGCUGGUCUGAGAGGAUGACCAGCAAAACGGGAAGUGAGACAGGGUCAAGACUCCUACGGGAGGCAGCAGUGGGGAAUAUUGCACAAUGGGCGCAAGCCUGAUGCAGCACUGCCAGGUGUAUGAAAAAGGCCUUCGGGUUGUAAAGUACUUUCAGCGGGGCGGCGUUACCCGCAGACGAAGAAUCGGCUAACUCCGUGCCAGCAGCCGCGGUAAUAC